rnacentral:lncRNA from 1 species
ACCGGGCUGUACGUGUGUUGAACACGGAGGUGUCGUCCGUUCGGCACUAGGAUCAUCGGUGAUUUGGAUCACGACGAGUACGACUCCAUCAACCCCAUUCACUUGAACGCUUCCGCUUAGCGAUCUACAAGGGUAUGUAGAUGCACUCUCCUUCCCCUCGUUGCUAGAUUACUCCAUAGAUUGAUCUUGGUGAUGCGUAGAAAAUUUUGAAUUUAUGCUACGUUCCCCAACAGUGACAUCAUGAGCUAGGUCUAUGCGUAGUUUCUAUGCACGAGUAGAACACAAAGCAGUUGUGGGCGUUGAUUUUGUCAAUUUACUUGCCGUUACUAGUCUUAUCUUGAUUCGGCGGCAUCUUGGGAUGAAGCGGCCCGGACCGACCUUACACAUACUCUUACGUGAGACUGGUUCCACCGACUGACAUGCACUAGUUGCAUAAGGUGGCUAGCGGGUGUCUGUCUCUCCCACUUUAGUCGGAUCAGAUUCGAUGAAAAGGGUCCUUAUGAAGGGUAAAUAGAAAUUGGCAUAUCACGUUGUGGUUUUGGCGUAGGUAAGAAACGUUCUUGCUAGAAACCUAUAGCAGCCACGUAAAAACUUGCAACAUCAAUUAGAGGACGUCUAACUUGUUUUUGCAGCAUAUGCCUUGUGAUGUGAUAUGGCCAAAAGGAUGUGAUGAAUGAUAUAUGUGAUGUAUGAGAUUGAUCAUGUUCUUGUAAUAGGAAUCACGACUUGCAUGUCGAUGAGUAUGACAAUCGGCAGGAGCCAUAAGAGUUGUCUUUAUUUAUUUAUGACCUACGUGUCAACAUAAACGUCAUGUAAUUACUUUACUUUAUUGCUAAAGCGUUAGCCAUAGUAGUAGAAGUAAUAGAUGACGAGACAACUUCAAGAAGACACGAUGAUGGAGAUCAUGGUGUCAUGCCGGUGACAACGAUGAUCAUGGAGCCCCGAAGAUGGAGAUCGAGAGGAGCAAAAUGAUAUUGGCCAUAUCAUGUCACUAUUUGAUUGCAUGUGAUGUUUAUCAUGUUUUACAUCUUAUUUGCUUAGAACGACGGUAGCUUAAAUAAGAUGAUCCCUCACUAAAAUUUCAAGAAAGGUGUUCCCCCUAACUGUGCACCGUUGCGAAGGUUCGUUGUUUCGAAGCACCACAUGAUGAUCGGGUGUGAUAGAUUCUAACGUUCGAAUACAACGGGUGUAAGCCAGAUUUACACAGCAAAAACACUUAGGUUGACUUGACGAGCCUAGCAUGUACGGACAUGGCCUCGGAACACAGAAGACCGAAAGGUCGAGCAUGAGUCGUAUAGAAGAUACGAUCAACAUGAAGAUGUUCACCGAUGUUGACUAGUCCGUCUCACGUGAUGAUCGGACACGGCCUAGUUGACUCGGAUCAUGUUUCACUUAGAUGACUAGAGGGAUGUCUAUCUGAGUGGGAGUUCAUUAGAUGAACUCAAUUAUCAUGAACAUAGUCUAAAUUGUCUUUGCAAAUAUGUUGUAGAUAAAUAGCUCACGUUGUAGCUCCCUGUUUCAAUAUGUUCCUAGAGAAAGACCAAGUUGAAAGAUAUUGUAAGCACUGAUGCGGACUAGUUCCGUAGUCCGAGGAGUGUCCUCACUGCUACAUAGAAGGCUUACGUCUUUGAUGCACCGCUCGAUGUGCAAACCCCUACAACGUCGUCUGUGGAUGUUGUGAACACCUGACAGACACAUCCUGAUGACUACUUGAUAGUUUAGUGCACCAUACUUUACGGCUUAGAAUCGGGAUUCUAAUGACGUUUCGAAUGCCAUAGAACAUAUGAGAUGUUCCAAGAGCUGAAAUUGGGAUUUCAGGCUCAUGCCCGUGUUAAGAGGUGUGAGACCUCUGACGAGUUCUUUUGCCAACAAGAUGGAGGAGAAUAGCUCAGCUAGUGAGCAUGUGCUCAGAAUGUCUGGGUGCUACAAUCACUUAAAUCAAGUGGGAGUUAAACUUCCAGAUAAGAUAGUGAUUGAUAGAGUUCUCUAGCCACUAUCACUAAGCUACUAGAUCUUCGUGAUGAACUAUGACAUGCAAGGGAUGGAGUUGAUCCCGGAGCUGUUCGCGGUGCUUAAGACCGCAAAAGGUAGAAAUCAAGAAGGAGCAUCAAGUGUUGAUGGUUUAAUAAGACCACUAGUUUCAAGAAGGGCAAGGGCUAGAAGGGAAACUUCAUGGAUGGCAAACCAGUUGCCGCUCCAGUAAAGGAACCCAAGGUUGAACCCAAACCCGAGACUAAGUGCUUCUAUUGUAAGGGGACGGUCACUGGUAGCGGAAUUACCCCAAAUGCAUGGUAGAUAAGAAGGCUGGCAACUUCAACAAAGUAUAUACAUGUUAUUAAUGUGUACCUCGCUAGUACUCCUGGUAGCACCUGGGUAUUGGAUACCAGUUCAGUUGCUAUUACUGGUGACUUGAAGCAAAAGCUACGUACUAAACGGAGAAUGGCCAAGGGCGAGGUGACGACGUGUGUUGGAAGUGUUUCCGAAGUUGAUGAGAUCACCAUCGCACGCUCCAUCUGCCUUCGGGAUUAGUAUUGAACCUAGAUAAAUGUUAUCAGGUGUCUACGUUGAGCAUGAAUAUGAUUAGAUCAUGUUCAUUGCAAUACAGUUAUUCAUUUAAGUUAGAGAAUAAUGGUUAUUCUGUUUACAUGAAUAAUACCUUUCAUGGUCAUGCACCCUAUGUGAAUGGUUCAUUGAAUCUCGAUCGUGGUAAUACACAUGUUCAUGCCAAAAGAUGUAGAGUUAAUAAUGAUAGUACCACUUUCUUGUGGCACUGCCGCUUAGGUCAUAUUGGCAUAAAGAAGCAUGAAGAAACUCCAUGUCGAUGGAUGUUUGGAGUCACUUGAUUUUGAAUCGCUUGACACAUGCGAGCCAUGCGUCAUGGGCAGGAUGACUAAGACCACGUUUUCAGGUACAAUGAAGCGGGCAAGUGACUUGUUGGAAAUCAUACAUGCUGAUGUGUGUGAUCCAAUGAGAAUUGAAGCGUGCGGUGGAUAUCGCUAUUUUCUCAUCUUCGCUGACGAUUUGAGUAGAUAUAGGUAUAUUUACUUAAUGAAGCACAAGUCUGAAAUGUUUGAAAAGUUCAAGCGAUUUCAGAGUGAAGUUAAGAAUCAUCAUAACAAAAAGGAUCAUGUUCCUACGAUCUGAUCAAAAGGGGAUUUUCUGAGUUAUGAGUUUGGCAAUCACUUAAGACAUUGUGGAAUUGUUUCACAGUUGAAGCCACCUAGAACACCACAAGGUAAUGGUGUGUCCAUACGUCGUAAUCGAACCCUAUGAGAUAUGGUGCGAUCUAUGAUGUCUCAUACCAAUCUACCGUUUUCAUUUUGAGGUUAUGCGUUAGAGACAACUGCAUUCACUUUAGAUAGGACACCAUCUAAGCCCGUUGAGACGACGUCGUAUGAACAUUGGUUUGGCAAGAAACCAAAGUUGUCGUUUCUUAAUGUUUGGGGCUACGAUGCUUAAGGCUUCAGCCGGAGAAGCUCGAACCCAAAGCGGACAAACACAUCUUCAUAGGAUACCCAAAGGUGACAGUUGGGUAUACCUUCUAUCUCAGAUCCGAGGGCAAAUUGUUUGUCACUAAGAACGGGUCCUUUCUCGAGAAGGAGUUUCUCUCGAAAGAAUUGAGUGGGAGGAAGAUAGAACUUGAUGAGGUUGUCGAACCUUUAUUUCAACCAGAGAAUGAUGCAACACAGAAAGAUGUUUUCUGUGGCACCUACGUCUGUUGAAUAGGAAGUUAAUGAUAGUGAUCAUGAAGCUUCGAAUCAAGUUGCUAUCGAACCUCGUAGGUCGACAAGGAUAUGUACUACUCCUAAGUGGUACGGUAAUCCUGUCUUAGACAUCAUGUUGUUAGACAACAAUGAACCUACGAUCUAUGGAGAAGCGAUGGUGGGCCCGUAUUCUGACAAAUGGUUAGAAGCCAUGAAAUCCGAGAUAGGAUUCAUAUAUCAGAACAAAGUAUGGACUUUGGUGGACUUGCCCGAUGAUUGGCAAGCCAUUGAGAUAAAUGGAUCUUUAAGAAGAAGACGGACGUGGGCGGUAAUGUUACCGUCUAUGAAGCUCGACUUGUGGGAAAGAGUCUUUUCACAAGUUCAAGGAGUUGACUACGAUGAGAAUUUCUCACCCGUAGCGAUGCUUGAGUCCGUCGAAAUUAUGAUAGCAUUAGCUGUAUUUUUCGAUUAUGAAAUCUUACAAAUGGAUGUCAAAACAAGAUUUCUUACCAGUUUUUGUAAGAAAAGUUGUAUGUGAUACAAUAAAAGGUUUUGACGAUCCUAAGAAUGCUAAAAGGUAUGCUAGCUCCAGCAAUCCUUCUAUGGACUAGAGCAGGCAUCUCGGAAUCAGAACAUAUGUUUUGAUGGAGUGAUCAAAGCUUUUAGGUUUAUACAAUGUUUGCUAGAAACUUGUAUUUACAAGAAAGUGAGUGGGAGCACUACAACAUUUCUGAUAAGUAUAUGUGGAUGACAUAUUGUUGAUCCAAAAUAAUGUAGAAUUUCUAGAAAGCAUAAACGGUUGUUUGAAGAGUGAUUUUCAAAGGAAGACCUGGAUAAAGCUGCUUACAUAUUGGGCAUCAAGAUCUAUAGAGAUGGAUCAAGACGCCUGAUGGUACUUUCAAAGAACGCACACCUUGACAUGUUUUUGAAGGAGUUCAAAACAGAUCAGUCAAAGAAGGGGUUCUUACCUGAGUUGUAAGGUGUGAAGUUGAGUAAGACUCAAAGCUUGACCACGACAGAAGAAAGAGGAAGGACGAAGGUCGUCCCCUAUGCUCUUAUCAUAGGCUCUAUAUGGUAUGCCAUGCUGAGUACCGCACCUGAUGUGUGCCUUGCCACAUGUCUGGCAAGAGGGUACAAAGGUGAUCUAGGAGUAGAUCACCGGAUAGCGGUCAAAAAUUAUCCUUAGAAGAAUAAGGAAAUGUUUCUCGGUUAUGGAGGUGAUAAAGAGUUCGACGUAAAGAGUUACGUCGAUGCAAGCUUAACACCUAUCCGGAUAGCUCUGAGUAGAGAUAUCGGAUACGUAUAAUGGAGCAACAAUUUGGAAUAGCUCCAAGUGGAACGUGGUAGCAGCAUCUACGAUAUGACAUAAAGUUUUGCGAAAUACAUAGGGAUCUAAAUGUGGCAAGACCCGUUGACUACAACCUCUCUCACAAGCAUAACAUGAUCAAACCCAGAACUCUUUGACUGUUUAUCACAUAGUGAUGUGAACUAGAUCAUUGAGUCUAGUAGACUCUUGGAUGUUGGUCACAUGGCGAUGUGACCUGUAAGUGUUAAUCACAUGGCGAUGUGAACUAGAUUAUUGACUCUAGUGCAAGUGGGAGACUGUUGGAAAUAUGCCCUAGAGGCAAUAAUAAAUUGGUUAUUAUUAUAUUUCCUUGUUCAUGAUAAUCGUUUAUUAUCCAUGCUAGAAUUGUAUUGAUAGGAAACUCAGAUACAUGUGUGGAUACAUAGACAACACCAUGUCCCUAGUAAGCCUCUAGUUGACUAGCUCGUUGAUCAAUAGAUGGUUACGGUUUCCUAACCAUGGACAUUGGAUGUUGUUGAUAACGGGAUCACAUCAUUAGGAGAAUGAUGUGAUGGACAAGACCCAAUCCUAAGCCUAGCACAAAGAUCGUGUAGUUCGUAUGCUAAAGCUUUUCUAAUGUCAAGUAUCAUUUCCUUAGACCAUGAGAUUGUGCAACUCCCGGAUAUCGUAGGAGUGCUUUGGGUGUGCCAAACGUCACAACGUAACUGGGUGGCUAUAAAGGUACACUACAGGUAUCUCUGAAAGUGUCUGUUGGGUUGGCACGAAUCGAGACUCGGAUUUGUCACUCCGUGUAAAUGGAGAGGUAUCUCUGGGCCCACUCGGUAUGACAUCAUCAUAAUGUGCACAAUGUGACCAAGGAGUUGAUCACGGGAUGAUGUGUUACAGAACGAGUAAAGAGACUUGCCAGUAACGAGAUUGAACAAGGUAUCGGGAUACCGACGAUCGAAUCUCGGGCAAGUACAAUACCGCUGGACAAAGGGAAUUGAAUACGGGAUUGAUUAAGUCCUUGACAUCGUGGUUCAUCCGAUGAGAUCAUCGUGGAACAUGUGGGAGCCAACAUGGGUAUCCAGAUCCUGCUGUUGGUUAUUGACCGGAGAGUUGUCUCGGUCAUGUCUGCAUGGUUCCCGAACCCGUAGGGUCUACACACUUAAGGUUCCAUGACGCUAGGGUUAUAGGGAAUAGAUAUACGUGGUUACCGAAUGUUGUUCGGAGUCCCGGAUGAGAUCCCGGACAUCACGAGGAGUUCCGGAAUGGUACGGAGGUAAAGAUUUAUAUAUGGGAAGUCCUGUUUUGGUCACCGAAAAAAUUUCGGGUGCUAUCGGUAACGUACCGGGAGGGUCCCGGGGGUCCACCAGGUGGCGCCACCUGCCCCAGAGGGCUGCGUGGGCCAAGUGUGAAGAGGGACCAGCCCCAGGUGGGCUGGUGUGCCCCCCACCAGGGCCCAAGGCGAAGAGAGAAGGGAAAAGGGGGAAACCCUAGGCUCAGAUGGGCCUAAGGCCCACCUAGUGGUGCGCCCCCCCUCUCUCCCCCCUUGGCCACCCCCUAGAUGGGAUCUAGGGCUGGCCGCCACCCCUAGGGGUGGAAACCUAGGUGGGGGCGCAGCCCCUCCCUUUCCCCUAUAUAUAGUGGGGGUUUUGGGCUGCCAUACACACGAGAACAUCUCCUUCUUGGCGUAGCCCUACCCCUCUGCCUCCUCGUCUCUUGCGGUGCUUGGCGAAGCCCUGCUGGAGUACCACACUCCUCCACCACCACCACGCCGUCGUGUUGCUGCUGGAUGGAGUCUUCCCCAAACUCUUGGCGGUAGUGUCUAAAACUCAUUGGAAUUCAUGCAAUCGGCGACAACAGUUGCCAUGGAGACCAAGGAGAGGAGGAGGAAUAGAGAGGAAACAAGAUCGCAAGUGGGGAGAAGGUGGUUUUUCCAUGAUUCUCAAGAAUGUGUGGAGGAGCGGGCAAGGGCUAUCUGACUUCGAGUCCCACCCUGCAAGGAAGAAGGUGGUGAGUGCGGGCUGAUUUGGUUACAUCUUGCGCUCAAGCGUGGGGAAUGAUACUUGCACGAACAAAUUUUGUUCGCUCUGCUCAUACCUCCAACGCGAACAAAGUUCGCUUGGAUGACACCUAAAAAGGGACGUCAUCGCUUUAUUGGUGCCCUUGUAAAAAACAGUCGUGGUUGUCUCAACAUCAUACGCAUUCAUGUCUGAUGAUACUGAUCACAUCUCUCUGACGAUUCAAUUGUUCAACAAGGCGGACAAAGAUGCCCGAGAAUGUCCCAUCAAUGGUGGCAGUCUGCUUAACCCUUGUUAAUUAAUCCAUGGUUUACUAGGUGCAAUGACUCCUAAGGCAUCGAAGUUAUGACCAACAUUCCUAUUAUUUCACGUUUGCACUAUUAUAUA